GACGAACCGUGCGAACGUUGUUCGGAAUCACUGGGCUUAAAGGGCGCGUAGGCGGUCGGGCAAGUCAGGGGUGAAAGCCCACGGCUCAACCGUGGAAGUGCCUUUGAUACUGCCAGUCUGGAGGGAGGUAGGGGCGUGCGGAACUUCCGGUGGAGCGGUGAAAUGCGUAGAUAUCGGGAAGAACACCCGUGGCGAAGGCGGCUCUCUAGUACGGUACUGACGCCGAGACGCGAAAGCGUGGGGAGCGAAC
rnacentral:rRNA from 1 species